rnacentral:lncRNA from 1 species
CUGAGAACCACUCUGGAAUAUGAGAAGUGCUCUGAGCCAGGGAAGAAGUACCUGCUCCUCCUACAAGGCCCAGCAGUAUCAGCGACAGAUUAUGCUUUUGCAAAACUAGGUUUACAAUAUCACGAAUAGUUUGCGGGCGGAGAAUAUUUCCACAGAACAGGAAGGAUGAUUUCUUCAGACAGACAAAGCUUUGCUGGAGCGUUUCUGCCGUCAACAGUCAAGUGGAGGAAAGACAGUGACAGUGGAUAAACUGCAGAAGCUGCUCCAGGAUCUGGGAGCACAGCCUCCUGACCAUGCAGGGAGAGGUGUCAGGAGAGGCCCCGCAAGACACCCAGAGGAGACCCUUCAGUUGUAAAGGCUGAGGAGGAACUUCCAUCUGGGCUUUUCUGAGGAUGAGUGAACUAGCUCAUCUAGCAACCGGGAAUUGGUAAGAACUCACAACAAAUGAACGGGAGGUGAGCUGGGACUCAAUUCUGCCUUAUAGAGUAGCCCCUGUGCAGAACUCAUGGACCCAGGUGAAAACAGCCUCCCUGCUCACAUGGCCUCCCCUCUCCCUAACCUUGCCCCGGCCCUGAAAUCUGGGUGGCAUAAAUGGUGCAGUGUACAAACAAAAAGGGAGCCCUGUGGAGGGUAGACGGAGGAACUGGACCCUCCCCAGCCCCCAGCCCUGCUCCUCUUCCCCUAUGCCCAGCCUGGGGAAUGGGGAAGCCCUUUCAUCUCCAGCCUCCUCUGCAGACUCUGUUGAGUGUCUGGUCUGGUCCCUGCCUGAGGCGAGAGCAACCAGGUGCUUUACUUUAUUGUACCCUUACUCCCUGGCACAUUUUAUGUGAAGAUCACAAACCCAAAACCUCACCGUGGAAAGGAGAAAAUGUGAAAACUACCAAAUAUGAGAAUAGAAGGAUUUCCUAUGAGAGAAUUUUGUUGGUGUGAGAAUCUGCAUUUGCUGCAAGAUUCAAUGGGCUUGUGGAAACCCCUGGCUGCAGCUGCUCCACAGAACAGUCAGUAAGCAACACACCAGCAACGACGACUCUGGGGGACCUGAAGCCAGUGUGGGGUCCGCCCCAGGGCCUUGUGAUUUGAGCCUUCCUAACGGCCCCUGGAGAGGGUCCUGAAUGACAUUUGGUUGCCAACCACCCACCACCAGUAACUAAUACCUGCUCCCUCAAUAUUCUAAGUCAGCCUGUUUUCAGCUAGAGAGUUCACUGAGGAGGCAGCAAGUUCUCUGAACACCAAAAUAACCCAGUGGCCAGCGGGUUUGGAAACAAAGGGCUCUGUGUGCUAGAGGGCAGCGGAAGCUGAGCAUACACUGGCAAAGGGGAGCCGCACCUCACAAACAGGGAAUGGGAACUGCCGUAAGCCUGCCUCCGCCCACCCACCAUGCCCACCUUGUAGCCCCUUGGGGCUGAGAACAGUGCAACAGCAAGGAUAACACAGUAGUCUCUGGGAGGUGGCAGAAAUGACUUGGGAAGAACUAAAACCUUUUUUUCUUAUUUUUGAAGAGUUUUGAAUUAUCCCUAUACAGGUAUCUCAAAUCCAAAGAAGGCACAUUCUAAAUCAAAAGAAAAACAAAUUAUAGUUGUUUUUGGCUAGAAUUCAAUGAUUUGGAUUUCAGAGUCCUGGCUGGCUACCUGACCUACUGCUAGAAGAGCAUUUCUUACCGUGAUGCCUGUGGAUACGAUAGCAAACCCCAGCACGCACUUCAUAUUUUCCCUUUCUGUGUCCAAUUCUAUGCUGAGGUCGUUGGUAUAGUCAUAAUACAGCCACCAUAAAACACCGCAGACAACUAGAAAAGAGAACAGUAGCAGAGCUCAGGGCACACGCCAUGAGGUAACCUUUCCCCAGCACACAGAAUCACACAGGAAGUCCAGCCACUGCCCACCGGCCGCGUGGCACUGCUCUGGCAGUGGGUCCCAAAUACCCGGACCCUACAAGCAACUGCUGCCCUCUGGAGAAGCUGGGCAGAGCCAGGGCAACCCAUAGAGGACCCACAAGUUCUGGGAUGAUGCUUGUUUUGGGAGACCCAGGAUGGUGACCCCAGAACACAGGCACCUAACCCACAGGUUGGGUCUGGAUGCGAGCAGGAGGAAAACCCCAUGGACAGGAUGGUGAGAGGGACAAUGCCAGAGCUCACUGUCUAAAUGUUUUAAGCAAGCUCUGGUGGUGAUAACUCCUGUGGAGCCUGGAUAUUGGCUGCUCACCCACAAAACCAGGAAAAUUUACACGGCCUGUGGGAAUCAUGGAAGUCAGAAGCUCAUUUGGAAGAUGCCCUGACAUUGCAAGUACUCCACAUUUAGGUACGAAAUACCACCUUAUGCCAUAUCCACAGUAACUAUAGGAAGGUUGGAGUGGACAGGAAGAAACAACCCUCAGAAGUCAUUGUGCCUGUCCUCCGACACAGGGCUACAGGGCUCUAAGUUGCUGAGGGCAGAGCUGAUGACUCAGGGGAAAGAAACAUGACAAUCACAUCAGUUUUUAAAAAUUAAAAUAUAGUCAUCCACUGCAUGAUGACAUUUUGAUCAACAAUGGACUGCAUAUAUGAUGGUGGUUCAUGAGAUUAAUAAUACUGUACUUUUCUGUGCUUAGAUGUGUUUAGAUACACAAAUACUGACCAUUCUGUUACAGCUGCCAACCGUAUUCUGUACAGUAGCAUGCUGUGCAGGUUCGUAGCCUAGGAGUAAUAGGUUAUACCAUGUGCCUGGGUGUGUAGUAGGCUCUACCAUCUAGGUUUGUGUAAGUGCACCCUGUGAUGUUCACACAAUGAGGAAAUUGCUGAGUGAUGCAUUUCUCAGAACACAUCCCUUCCUGUCAUUAAGUGACACCUGAUUGUACCCCACACCAGUUGGUAAAUGGCUGCUGCCUUGAGCCUCCUGCGUGCCCUUGUCCCUCGGACCUCUUUCCCAACAACUGCUGGUGAGAUCCACAAUCCAGCAACCGGGAGGGAAAUAUGGGCACAGUACAGGGUCUCCAGGACUCUGCUUCCAUGCAGGCCUGUGUGUCUUCUGGCUGGUCAGAACCUUUACAUGACAACUGUGGGCACCCACGUGCCAAUGGGUGAGGUGCGCAUUCAGAAGAAAUCCUUUAAAAUGCUCCCAGUGGGUACUGGGAUUCUCUUUUAACGUUAUGGAUACAGGAUCACGGUAUUGGAAAGCUCAUCUCAGGGGCAGCAUAGCACAGCAGAAGAAACUACAGAUAUGGCUGGACGUGGUGACUCAUACCUGUAAUCCCAGCACUUUGGGAGGCCAAGGUGGGCGGAUCGCUUGAGCUCAGGAGUUGGAGACCAGACUGGGCAACAUGGCAAAACCCCGUCUCUACAAAAAAUACAAAAAUUAGCUGGGUGUAGUGGCAUGUGCCUGUAAUUCCAGCUACCUGGGGGGCUGAGACAGGGGGAUCGCUUGAGCCCAGGAGGUUGAGGCUAUAGUGAGC